GACGAACGCUGGCGGCGUGCUUAACACAUGCAAGUCGAACGGAAAGGCCCCCUUGUGGGGUACUCGAGUGGCGAACGGGUGAGUAACACGUGAGUAACCUACCCUUGACUUUGGGAUAACUUCAGGAAACUGGGGCUAAUACCGGAUAGGAGCUCCUGCUGCAUGGUGGGGGGUGGAAAGUUUCGGCGGUUGGGGAUGGACUCGCGGCUUAUCAGCUUGUUGGUGGGGUAGUGGCUCACCAAGGCUUUGACGGGUAGCCGGCCUGAGAGGGUGACCGGCCACAUUGGGACUGAGAUACGGCCCAGACUCCUACGGGAGGCAGCAGUGGGGAAUAUUGCACAAUGGGCGGAAGCCUGAUGCAGCAACGCCGCGUGCGGGAUGACGGCCUUCGGGUUGUAAACCGCUUUCGCCUGUGACGAAGCGUGAGUGACGGUAAUGGGUAAAGAAGCACCGGCUAACUACGUG
rnacentral:rRNA from 1 species